rnacentral:rRNA from 1 species
ACUCCUACGGGAGGCAGCAGUGGGGAAUAUUGCACAAUGGGCGCAAGCCUGAUGCAGCCAUGCCGCGUGUAUGAAGAAGGCCUUCGGGUUGUAAAGUACUUUCAGCGGGGAGGAAGGCGAUAAGGUUAAUAACCUUGUCGAUUGACGUUACCCGCAGAAGAAGCACCGGCUAACUCCGUGCCAGCAGCCGCGGUAAUACGGAGGGUGCAAGCGUUAAUCGGAAUUACUGGGCGUAAAGCGCACGCAGGCGGUCUGUCAAGUCGGAUGUGAAAUCCCCGGGCUCAACCUGGGAACUGCAUUCGAAACUGGCAGGCUAGAGUCUUGUAGAGGGGGGUAGAAUUCCAGGUGUAGCGGUGAAAUGCGUAGAGAUCUGGAGGAAUACCGGUGGCGAAGGCGGCCCCCUGGACAAAGACUGACGCUCAGGUGCGAAAGCGUGGGGAGCAAACAGGAUUAGAUGCCCGGGUAUCC